UAAGGAAGCCAUUGACUUUACUUUCCUUCCACCCAUCAUCCAAGGCAACAAAAGAGAAAAGAUGAAAACAAAUAAAAACUAAUCCUAAGCAUUUCUAUCCCCCAUUCAGUCGACCCUCACCCAAGAGAAAAGAAAUAAAAAUUCCACUCCCUUUCCAAGAAAGCUAAAGCCAACCCUCUCUUCUUCUCCUCUCUUUUGUUCUUCAAGAAACCAACUCCUCUCAUCAUCUUCAAGCUUAUGACUCCAUAGCAAGAUAAGAGUACCUUUAAUCAUUCUCCUUUGUGUAUUUCGAAUUUAGCCCUGGUUUAAUCAAGUGGGUUUUCUUUUGAUGAUUUUUAUGUUUCAGUUUUGGAGUUUAAAACAGUGAUAUCGUGUUGCUCUUCAUCCACACGGCUAUACCUCUAUUUGGUCAUCCACUUGUGUUUUGAAAGGAGCUAAGAACUUAAGGUAUUGAUGAAAAGGUUGGGGAGCAAGGCAAUACUGCAGAGGGAGAGGCAGAAGCUUAGGAUCUUCCCUAACUAGAACAAUUAUGUUUAUAGAUGAUAAGUUAUGUUUUUAUGAACGUAUGGACUCUAAGAGUCUUUUAUAAUAAAUGUUCGAAUAGAAUGUCUAUCAGGUGUUCCCUUUAUUAAAUGAAAAAUUUAGAGUA